rnacentral:rRNA from 1 species
UACGGAGGGGGCAAGCGUUGUUCGGAAUCAUUGGGCGUAAAGGGCGCGUAGGCGGCCGUCCAAGUCGGGUGUGAAAUCCCUCGGCUCAACCGAGGAACUGCACUCGAUACUGGUCGGCUAGAGUCCGGGAGGGGAUGGUGGAAUUCCCAGUGUAGCGGUGAAAUGCGUAGAUAUUGGGAAGAACACCGGUGGCGAAGGCGGCCAUCUGGACCGGAACUGACGCUGAGGUGCGAGAGCGUGGGGAGCGAACCGG